CCGUGGCAGACAGCUCAGUAACACGUGGCCAAACUACCCUAUGGACGCGGACACCCUCGGGAAACUGAGGCUAAUCCACGAUACGGCUCUCACGCUGGAAUGCGGGGAGCCGGAAAGGCUCCGGCGCCAUAGGAUGUGGCUGCGGCCGAUUAGGUAGACGGUGGGGUAACGGCCCACCGUGCCCAUAAUCGGUACGGGAUGUGAGAGCAAAUAGCCCGGAGAUGGAUUCUGAGACAAGAAUCCAGGCCCUACGGGGCGCAGCAGGCGCGAAACCUUUACACUGCACGCCAGUGCGAUAAGGGGACCCCGAGUGCGAGGGCAUACAGUCCUCGCUUUUGUACACCGUAAGGAGGUGUACGAAUAAGGGCUGGGCAAGACCGGUGCCAGCCGCCGCGGUAAUACCGGCAGCCCGAGUGAUGGCCGCUGUUAUUGGGCCUAAAGCGCCCGUAGCCGGCCGAACAAGUCUGUCGGGAAAUCCAUCUGCCUAACAGAUGGGCGUCCGGCAGAAACUGUUCGGCUUGGGGCCGGAAGAUCCGAGGGGUACGUCCGGGGUAGGAGUGAAAUCCCGUAAUCCUGGACGGACCGCCGGUGGCGAAAGCGCCUCGGAAGGACGGACCCGACGGUGAGGGACGAAAGCUGGGGUCUCGAACCGGAUUAGAUACCCGGGUAGUCCCAGCCGUAAACGAUG
rnacentral:rRNA from 1 species